rnacentral:pre_miRNA from 1 species
AGGGGGAGCGCAGGAUCCUGGGUUGUGUCCCCCGCGCCCUGGGCUCCGGGGCCUGCGCUGCUGGAAUCCCGCUCCCAGGGUCGCGCAGCCUCCU